rnacentral:rRNA from 1 species
UACCAAGGCUUGACAUAUACAGGAAAACUGCAGAAAUGUAGUCCCCGCAAGGUCUGUAUACAGGUGGUGCAUGGUUGUCGUCAGCUCGUGUCGUGAGAUGUUGGGUUAAGUCCCGCAACGAGCGCAACCCUCGUCCUAUGUUGCCAGCACGUAAUGGUGGGAACUCAUGGGAGACUGCCGGGGUCAACUCGGAGGAAGGUGGGGAUGAUGUCAAAUCAUCAUGCCCCUUAUGUCCUGGGCUUCACGCAUGCUACAAUGGCCGGUACAAAGGGCUGCAAUACCGUAAGGUGGAGCGAAUCCCAAAAAGCCGGUCUCAGUUCGGAUUGAGGUCUGCAACUCGACCUCAUGAAGUCGGAGUCGCUAGUAAUCGCAGAUCAGCAACGCUGCGGUGAAUACGUUCCCGGGCCUUGUACACACCGCCCGUCAAGUCACGAAAGUC